rnacentral:tRNA from 1 species
GGAGCCGUGCCUGAAUGCCCAAGGACCACUUUGAUAGAGUGCUUUACGAGGGUUAAAAUCCCCCCGGCUCCN